UUUAGACUUAGACUUCUAUGAAUUCUUCCGCAACCCAUGACUUGAUCUACUUAAUAACUCUUUUACUCUCCCCCACUUUUAGUUCGGGUAGAAUUUCGACCCGGUGUGCGGGCUGGCCGCGCGGGCGAUAUUUGGACGGACAGUGGGCCCCCAGGGACGACCUUGUGUCCUCAUCGGUCUGUUACCUCAGGCGGAAAGGUUGUCGACGCGCCGAGCCCGAGGUACAGGACGAGAUGAGUAGCGACGAGGAGUUGCGGGAGAAGCAGCGCGUGGUGAAGGAGAGGCGGGGCGGUCGCGGCAGGGGCGAAGAGUCGCUCCGGUUGUUGCCGCCACGCGACUCGACCCGCGAUUCCCGCCGGUCCCUCCGGCUCAGGCACCGCCGCCGCCCUACGAGGCCGGUGCCGGCGCACAAGGACCUACCGUAGCAGCCGCUCCUGCCCGCCGGGCCCACGCUCACGUUGUGGACGAAGCUUCCCGGUCUGACGAGGCAGGCCUGCGGGCUGACGUGGCAGCUGCGGCUGUCACCCCUGGGCUACAAGGACCUCGGCAUGACCUACGCCGUGCGCCUCCGGUCGCGGCACCACCAGAGGCCCACCGUGGCGUACUCGAUGUCUCGGUGGCUGCCAGAGAAGGUCAGGCAGCUCGAGCUCGCGACGUAGUCCGCCGACGUGUCCCGGCAGCCAUUGCGGCAGCGGCUGCUGUUCGUUUAGCAGAAGCGGUGGCCGAGGUACGUCGACUAGUUGCGCGACCACAUGCGGGACAGGGGCCUGUCGUUGAGGCCGAGGUGCCGGUCGCACCAGCGGUGGUGCGGCAUGAUGGGCCGAAUGUCUUGUGUCUAGCACAACAAGCUGUCGGCCCUCAUGUUUACCCGGCCCUUGUGGAGGUACACCCGGUUUCGCAGCCCCUUGAGGUGGUGGUUCCUCCUGCAGUAGCUCAAGCACUGCAGCGGCUUGUUGGGGCUGCGGGACGAGUUGGUCGGGCAGCAGCCGCCGAGCAGCCGCUAGGAGCUGGUGCGGAUGAAGACCGGCGUGAAGUGCGUAUAGGGGCGCGGGAGGCUGCGCCUGCAGUACGAGAAGUGGUGGAGGUUCGAGAGGCCGGUACGGUCGUCAGCUAAGCCCACCCGCGACUAUUCCCUGCUCUUCCACCGGUUCGCCCAGUUACUGAUGUACUACGUCUUGUGGUACCCGCGCAGGGCGCUGUGGGUCGAGGCCUACGAGUCGUAGAAGUUCCGGUAUGACCGGUUGGACGUGCCGUUCCUCCUGUAGAAGCGGAAGCCCGUGCUGCAGUACUCUCGGUUUACCGCGUUCGAGUCGCGGCAGCACAGCGCGAGGGCGGCCUAGAGCGACGUCUUGUAGGGAGGCGUCAUGACGUGGAUGAAGCUGUUCUAGUCCCUCGGUAGGGGUCGAAUACGCACCCAGUUCACACUCUCCCUCCUUCUGUCACUGACGAGGCUGCACGACGAGUUCCGGUUCUAUUAGUGUGCCAGGCCGCAGACCUUGCUGCGGUCGUCGGCCAUGUGCUCCUAUUCGGAGUAGUUCAGGGUCCUGCUGAAGCUGGACGAGGAGCUCUCCUAGUGUCUUAAACAGCUACGGCUCGAGUGGCGACUACCAAGGUUGAGGUACACUACAGGGUACAAUUAUAUGUCUUUGCCCAGUUCUUUUACAGUCAUAUGUCUUCCAUACACAAGUCAACCAUUUCGGAGAUCACAAAUACUAUGGAACCUUUCUAGAUUCAAUAACGUAAUUACAGUCUAGAAAGGUUCCAUAGUAUUUGGUUUUAGUAGUGAUAAGUUAUAAGGGAGGCAAGCUUUAAUGAACAGAGCUUUUACCUACAUAAAUCUUGAUUUUAUACAGAUCUAUGUAGGUAAAGACACUGUUCAUUAAAGUUCGCCUCCCUCAUGAAAGGUUCAAUAACGUAACUAACCUGAUGUGCGUUCCACUACUAGUGUGCUGGUGUGCAACACCUACCUGAUACUUGCUUGUGACUUGUAAUGGCCUUACUAGUCGAUACGCAACUAACAAGAGACACACAUAAUGAUCAUGAAUAAUCUGUUCUUUUUACAAAGGUACGACAUAACUCACCUCCUAAUUCCUCGCGUACGUUUCGAGUCUUUGACCAUGUAAUUACGAUCAAACAGGCUCAGUAGUAAAAGAAAAGAAAAAACACACCCUUGAGUCCCUCAAAAAUAACUUGUCACU
rnacentral:rRNA from 1 species